AGCUUUUUGAGCUAAAUAUAUUAUAAUAUUAGUUAUUUAUAUAAAGUGUUGUAAAAUUUUAUUAAAAAAUAUAUUUAGGGGUGAUAGGCUAUUCAAAAACUAUGAUAUCUUGAAUCUAAUUAAAAGUAUGUAGUACAUUUCAACACGACUAUUUAAGUGAUAAGGCUUUAUAGAAAUAUUAACUUUUUUUUAUAAGAUUUUUUAUUUAUUAUAAUUUAAUAACUAAAUAUUAUUAAUAAAUUAUUAUUCAUUUAUAUUUAUUUAUAUGGAGUAUUUAGAUAAAUUUUAGUUCAUAUAAAUUCUAAUAAUGUUUAUAUUAGUAUAUAUUUUUAUUUUUAUUAGAUGAACUCGGCAAAAAUGUAUUUCUCAACUGUUUAUCAAAAACAUAACUAUGUGAGAAAAUACAUAGCGGUUUCUGCUCAA
rnacentral:rRNA from 1 species